rnacentral:rRNA from 1 species
GGAAUUUUCCGCAAUGGGCGAAAGCCUGACGGAGCAACGCCGCGUGAGGGAUGAAGGCCUCUGGGCUGUAAACCUCUUUUAUCAAGGAAGAAGAUCUGACGGUACUUGAUGAAUAAGCCACGGCUAAUUCCGUGCCAGCAGCCGCGGUAAUACGGGAGUGGCAAGCGUUAUCCGGAAUUAUUGGGCGUAAAGCGUCCGCAGGCGGCCUUGUAAGUCUGUUGUUAAAGCGUGGAGCUUAACUCCAUUUGAGCAAUGGAAACUGCAAGGCUUGAGUGUGGUAGGGGCAGAGGGAAUUCCCGGUGUAGCGGUGAAAUGCGUAGAUAUCGGGAAGAACACCAGUGGCGAAGGCGCUCUGCUGGGCCAUAACUGACGCUCAUGGACGAAAGCCAGGGGAGCGAAAGGGAUUAGAUACCCCUGUAGUC